UACGGGGGGGGCAAGCGUUGUUCGGAAUUACUGGGCGUAAAGGGCUCGUAGGCGGCCAACUAAGUCGGAUGUGAAAUCCCCAGGCUCAACCUGGGAACUGCAUCCGAUACUGGAUGGCUUGAAUUCGGGAGAGGGAUGCAGAAUUCCAGGUGUAGCGGUGAAAUGCGUAGAUAUCUGGAGGAAUACCGGUGGCGAAGGCGGCAUCCUGGACCGACAUUGACGCUGAUGAGCGAAAGCGUGGGGAGCGAACAGG
rnacentral:rRNA from 1 species